AGCAGCCGCGGUAAUUCCAGCUCCAAUAGCGUAUAUUAAAGUUGUUGCAGUUAAAAAGCUCGUAGUUGAACCUUGGGCCUGGCUGGCCGGUCCGCCUCACCGCGUGUACUGGUCCGGCCGGGCCUUUCCUUCUGGGGAACCUCAUGCCCUUCACUGGGCGUGUUGGGGAACCAGGACUUUUACUUUGAAAAAUUUAGAGUGUUCGAAGCAGGCCUUUGCUCGAAUACAUUAGCAUGGAAUAAUAGAAUAGGACGUGUGGUUCUAUUUUGUUGGUUUCUAGGACCGCCGUAAUGAUUAAUAGGGAUAGUCGGGGGCAUCAGUAUUCAAUCGUCAGAGGUGAAAUUCUUGGAUUGAUUGAAGACUAACUACUGCGAAAGCAUUUGCCAAGGAUGUUUUCAUUAAUCAGUGAACGAAAGUUAGGGGAUCGAAGACGAUCAGAUACCGUCGUAGUCUUAACCAUAAACUAUGCCGACUAGGGAUCGGACGGUGUUAGUAUUUUGACCCG
rnacentral:rRNA from 1 species